rnacentral:rRNA from 1 species
AGGGAUCAUUACCGAGUGAAAACUCCCAAACCCAUGUGAACAUACCACUGUUGCUUCGGCGGACCACCCUCGCCUCGCCGCGGGGGCCCGCCAGAGGACCCAAAAUUCAAAUGUAUCUUGUUUUCCGAACGCAUUCUGAGUGGGAUUUUUAAAUCAAAUCAAAACUUUCAACAACGGAUCUCUUGGCUCUGGCAUCGAUGAAGAACGCAGCGAAAUGCGACAAGUAAUGUGAAUUGCAGAAUUCAGUGAAUCAUCGAAUCUUUGAACGCACAUUGCGCCCGCCAGUAUUCUGGCGGGCAUGCCUGUUCGAGCGUCAUUAACACCACUCAAGCCCCCGGGCUUGGCGUUGGGGAUCGGCAUCCGGCCUGGCGGGACCCCUCGGGGCCCCUCCUCCGCCCGCCGUCCCCCAAAUACAUCGGCGGUCGCCCGUGGGCUCCCCUGCGUAGUAGCAACACCUCGCACCGGACGUCCCGCGCGGCCACGCCGUAAAACCCCCGACUUUUUUCAAGUUGACCUCGAAUCAGGUAGGACUACCCGCUGAACUUAA